GGAAGGUAUGUCUAGUAUCUUAAAGAAAAACUGGCCAAUACUUUUACAUGAUCCAGUUUUAAAAAAGACUCUUCCCAGCCAUCCAUCUCUUACAGCACACAGACCAACUAACCUCUAUGAUCAAUUGGUCCACAGUCAUCUUUCUUCUCCUACACCACCUACGAAUUGGCUAACUGGUCUCAAGGGAACGUUUAAAUGUGGCCAUUGUAAGGCAUGUCAAUUUAUUCUCCCUUCUAGGUCAACAGUAUCUACUCAAUCACACAUUCGUAUUGAGACCAAUGCCCUUGUAAACUGUUCCACCACAAGACUCAUCUAUCUGAUUACAUGUAGUUGUGGAGUUCAAUACAUCGGAAAAACAUUCUAACAAUUUAGGCGUAGGAUCUUACAACAUGUUAAUUCCAUCAACAAUACUGUCACCCCCACUCCAGUAGCAAGACACCUCUUAAAUUUUCA